rnacentral:lncRNA from 1 species
UUUUCAGCUAAUCAAGUACGAAGAAUAAAUGCAUUACACAUCUGCCAUUUUUGGCCUCCCCUGUGACACUGUUGUGCCAUCGGUGGAAUGUCCACUGCUGCUUUCCUUUCUUCUGCUGCUUUGGACAUUCCAGAAAGUUAGGUUAGGUUUACUAACCCUCUUUUCUGUUCUUUCUUCCUUUUUUCCUUCUUGUGUGCUUGGCUUGUGUGUUUGUUUUGUGUGUGGGUUAGGGUUCUUCCUUUCCAGGUUCAGAGCACUGCUGCUGCAUCUUCCUUCAUACCGACUUGGAUUUCAACUGCUUCUUUAUUUUUAAAUAAAACUCAGCACUAUCCACACAAUAUAUACAUUAC